rnacentral:rRNA from 1 species
UACGAAGGGUGCAAGCGUUACUCGGAAUUACUGGGCGUAAAGCGUGCGUAGGCGGUUUGUUAAGUCUGUCGUGAAAGCCCUGGGCUCAACCUGGGAACUGCGAUGGAAACUGGCUGACUAGAAUGUGGCAGAGGGUAGCGGAAUUCCUGGUGUAGCAGUGAAAUGCGUAGAUAUCAGGAGGAACAUCCAUGGCGAAGGCAGCUACCUGGGCCAACAUUGACACUGAGGCACGAAAGCGUGGGGAGCAAACAGG